rnacentral:rRNA from 1 species
AUACGGAGGGUGCAAGCGUUACUCGGUAUCACUGGGCGUAAAGCGCGCGCAGGCGGUCUUUUAAGUUGGAUGUGAAAGCCUACGGCUCAACCGUAGAACUGCAUCCAAAACUAUUAGACUAGAGUGUGGGAGAGGAAGAUGGAAUUAGUUGUGUAGGGGUAAAAUCCGUAGAGAUAACUAGGAAUACCAAAAGCGAAGGCAAUCUUCUGGAACACUACUGACGCUGAGGCGCGAAAGCGUGGGGAGCAAACAGGAUUAGAAACCCUAGUAGUCC